AGAGUUUGAUCCUGGCUCAGAACGAACGCUGGCGGCGUGCCUAACACAUGCAAGUCGAACGAGAAAUCGGGCACUCAGGCAACUGAGUGCCGGAGAGUAAAGUGGCGCACGGGUGAGUAACGCGUGGGUAACCCACCCCUGAAUCUGGAAUAACUUCGCGAAAGCGUUGCUAAUACCGGAUAUUGCCCCGAGGACUUUGGCUCUCGGGGUGAAAGGUGACCUCUUCACGAAAGUUGCCGUUCAGGGAAGGGCCCGCGUACCAUUAGCUUGUUGGUGAGGUAAUGGCCCACCAAGGCGACGAUGGUUAGCUGGUCUGAGAGGAUGAUCAGCCACACUGGAACUGGAACACGGUCCAGACUCCUACGGGAGGCAGCAGUGAGGAAUUUUGCGCAAUGGGGGAAACCCUGACGCAGCAACGCCGCGUGAGUGAAGAAGGCCUUCGGGUCGUAAAGCUCUGUCAAGUGGGAAAAAAUGCUCUCGAUAAAUAGUCGAGAGAACUGAUGGUACCACUGGAGGAAGCACCGGCUAACUCCGUGCCAGCAGCCGCGGUAAUACGGAGGGUGCAAGCGUUGUUCGGAAUUACUGGGCGUAAAGAGCGUGUAGGCGGUUUGGCAAGUCAGAUGUGAAAGCCCUGGGCUCAACCCAGGAAGUGCAUUUGAAACUGCCUGACUGGAGUAUGGGAGAGGAGAGUGGAAUUCCCAGUGUAGAGGUGAAAUUCGUAGAUAUUGGGAGGAACACCCGUGGCGAAAGCGACUCUCUGGACCAAUACUGACGCUGAGACGCGAAAGCGUGGGGAGCAAACAGGAUUAGAUACCCUGGUAGUCCACGCCGUAAACGAUGAGAACUAGGUGUAGCGGGUAUUGACCCCUGCUGUGCCGGAGUUAACGCAUUAAGUUCUCCGCCUGGGGAGUACGGCCGCAAGGCUAAAACUCAAAGGAAUUGACGGGGGCCCGCACAGCGGUGGAGCAUGUGUUUAAUUCGACGCAACGCGAGACUUACCUGGGUUUGACAUCCUCUGACGUCCGGAAACGGAUUUUCGACUGUCGACGAUGACAGGUGCUGCAUGCUGUCGUCAGCUCGGUCUGAAAUGUGGUAGUCCGCACGAGGCACUUAUCUUUAGUUGCAGAUUAGGUAAGCACUCUAAAGAACUGCCU
rnacentral:rRNA from 1 species